AUCCAGAUGACAAGUCUCAAAUAGGACGAAAUGCGCAUCCUGAAU
rnacentral:hammerhead_ribozyme from 1 species